UCGGUGUGAGGUAGUAGGUUGUAUAGUUGAGAACAACAUCAUUUCCACCGGAGAAACUGUACAACUUGCUAACUUUCUCUGG
rnacentral:pre_miRNA from 1 species